GCAGUCGAGCGGACAGAAGGGAGCUUGCUCCCGGAUGUUAGCGGCGGACGGGUGAGUAACACGUGGGUAACCUGCCUGUAAGACUGGGAUAACUCCGGGAAACCGGAGCUAAUACCGGAUAGUUCCUUGAACCGCAUGGUUCAAGGAUGAAAGACGGUUUCGGCUGUCACUUACAGAUGGACCCGCGGCGCAUUAGCUAGUUGGUGGGGUAAUGGCUCACCAAGGCGACGAUGCGUAGCCGACCUGAGAGGGUGAUCGGCCACACUGGGACUGAGACACGGCCCAGACUCCUACGGGAGGCAGCAGUAGGGAAUCUUCCGCAAUGGACGAAAGUCUGACGGAGCAACGCCGCGUGAGUGAUGAAGGUUUUCGGAUCGUAAAGCUCUGUUGUUAGGGAAGAACAAGUGCGAGAGUAACUGCUCGCACCUUGACGGUACCUAACCAGAAAGCCACGGCUAACUACGUGCCAGCAGCCGCGGUAAUACGUAGGUGGCAAGCGUUGUCCGGAAUUAUUGGGCGUAAAGGGCUCGCAGGCGGUUUCUUAAGUCUGAUGUGAAAGCCCCCGGCUCAACCGGGGAGGGUCAUUGGAAACUGGGAAACUUGAGUGCAGAAGAGGAGAGUGGAAUUCCACGUGUAGCGGUGAAAUGCAUAGAGAUGUGGAGGAACACCAGUGGCGAAGGCGACUCUCUGGUCUCUAACUCACGCUGAGGAACGAAAGCGUGGGGACCGAACGGGAGUAGAUACCCCGGGGGUCCCCACCGUA
rnacentral:rRNA from 1 species